AGAGUUUGAUCCUGGCUCAGAACGAACGCUGGCGGCGUGGAUAAGACAUGCAAGUCGAACGAGAGAAUUGCUAGCUUGCUAAUAAUUCUCUAGUGGCGCACGGGUGAGUAACACGUGAGUAACCUGCCCCCGAGAGCGGGAUAGCCCUGGGAAACUGGGAUUAAUACCGCAUAGUAUCGAAAGAUUAAAGCAGCAAUGCGCUUGGGGAUGGGCUCGCGGCCUAUUAGUUAGUUGGUGAGGUAACGGCUCACCAAGGCGAUGACGGGUAGCCGGUCUGAGAGGAUGUCCGGCCACACUGGAACUGAGACACGGUCCAGACACCUACGGGUGGCAGCAGUCGAGAAUCAUUCACAAUGGGGGAAACCCUGAUGGUGCGACGCCGCGUGGGGGAAUGAAGGUCUUCGGAUUGUAAACCCCUGUCAUGUGGGAGCAAAUUAAAAAGAUAGUACCACAAGAGGAAGAGACGGCUAACUCUGUGCCAGCAGCCGCGGUAAUACAGAGGUCUCAAGCGUUGUUCGGAAUCACUGGGCGUAAAGCGUGCGUAGGCUGUUUCGUAAGUCGUGUGUGAAAGGCGCGGGCUCAACCCGCGGACGGCACAUGAUACUGCGAGACUAGAGUAAUGGAGGGGGAACCGGAAUUCUCGGUGUAGCAGUGAAAUGCGUAGAUAUCGAGAGGAACACUCGUGGCGAAGGCGGGUUCCUGGACAUUAACUGACGCUGAGGCACGAAGGCCAGGGGAGCGAAAGGGAUUAGAUACCCCUGUAGUCCUGGCAGUAAACGGUGCACGCUUGGUGUGCGGGGAAUCGACCCCCUGCGUGCCGGAGCUAACGCGUUAAGCGUGCCGCCUGGGGAGUACGGUCGCAAGAUUAAAACUCAAAGAAAUUGACGGGGACCCGCACAAGCGGUGGAGUAUGUGGCUUAAUUCGAUGCAACGCGAAGAACCUUACCUGGGCUUGACAUGUAAUGAACAACAUGUGAAAGCAUGCGACUCUUCGGAGGCGUUACACAGGUGCUGCAUGGCCGUCGUCAGCUCGUGUCGUGAGAUGUUUGGUUAAGUCCAGCAACGAGCGCAACCCCUGUUGCCAGUUACCAGCACGUGAAGGUGGGGACUCUGGCGAGACUGCCCAGAUCAACUGGGAGGAAGGUGGGGACGACGUCAGGUCAGUAUGGCCCUUAUGCCCAGGGCUGCACACGUACUACAAUGCCCAGUACAGAGGGGGCCGAAGCCGCGAGGCGGAGGAAAUCCUAAAAACUGGGCCCAGUUCGGACUGUAGGCUGCAACCCGCCUACACGAAGCCGGAAUCGCUAGUAAUGGCGCAUCAGCUACGGCGCCGUGAAUACGUUCCCGGGUCUUGUACACACCGCCCGUCACAUCAUGGAAGCCGGUCGCACCCGAAGUAUCUGAAGCCAACCGCAAGGAGGCAGGGUCCUAAGGUGAGACUGGUAACUGGGAUGAAGUCGUAACAAGGUAGCC
rnacentral:rRNA from 1 species